ACAACAUUAGAACCGUCGGUCUACCGGGCAAUUACACCCGCUCAGUGGAAGAUCUUCCCUUUCGUUGU
rnacentral:pre_miRNA from 1 species